rnacentral:rRNA from 1 species
UACGGGGGGGGCAAGCGUUGUUCGGAGUUACUGGGCGUAAAGGGCUCGUAGGCGGCCAACUAAGUCCGACGUGAAAUCCCCAGGCUUAACCUGGGAACUGCGUCGGAUACUGGAUGGCUUGAAUUCGGGAGAGGGAUGCAGAAUUCCAGGUGUAGCGGUGAAAUGCGUAGAUAUCUGGAGGAACACCGGUGGCGAAGGCGGUUCUCUGGGCCUUACCUGACGCUGAGGAGCGAAAGCGUGGGGAGCGAACAGG